GACGAACGCUGGCGGCGUGCUUAACACAUGCAAGUCGAACGGAAAGGCCCUGCUUUUGUGGGGUGCUCGAGUGGCGAACGGGUGAGUAACACGUGAGUAACCUGCCCUUGACUUUGGGAUAACUUCAGGAAACUGGGGCUAAUACCGGAUAGGAUCUCCUGCUGCAUGGUGGGGGGUGGAAAGUUUCGGCGGUUGGGGAUGGACGCGCGGCUUAUCAGCUUGUUGGUGGGGUAGUGGCUUACCAAGGCUUUGACGGGUAGCCGGCAUGAGAGGGUGACCGGCCACAUUGGGACUGAGAUACGGACCAGACUCCUACGGGAGGCAGCAGUGGGGAAUAUUGCACAAUGGGCGGAAGCCUGAUGCAGCAACGCCGCGUGCGGGAUGACGGCCUUCGGGUUGAAAACCGCUUUCGCCUGUGACGAAGCGUGAGUGACGGUAAUGGGUAAAGAAGCACCGGCUAACUACGUG
rnacentral:rRNA from 1 species